rnacentral:rRNA from 1 species
UCUGGUUGAUCCUGGCGGAGGUCACUGCUAUCGGUGUUCGUCUAAGCCAUGCGAGUCAUAUGUUCUUCGUGAACAUGGCAUACUGCUCAGUAACACGUGGAUAACCUGCCCUUGGGUCCGGCAUAACCCCGGGAAACUGGGGAUAAUACCGGAUAACGCAUAUAUGCUGGAAUUCUUUAUGCGUGAAAUGGAUUCGUCUGCCCAAGGAUGGGUCUGCGGCCUAUCAGGUAGUAGUGGGUGUAAUGUACCUACUAGCCGACGACGGGUACGGGUUGUGAGAGCAAGAGCCCGGAGAUGGAUUCUGAGACAUGAAUCCAGGCCCUACGGGGCGCAGCAGGCGCGAAAACUUUACAAUGCGGGAAACCGUGAUAAGGGGACACCGAGUGCCAGCAUCAUAUGCUGGCUGUCCGGGUGUGUAAAAUACACCUGUUAGCAAGGGCCGGGCAAGACCGGUGCCAGCCGCCGCGGUAACACCGGCGGCCCGAGUGGUGAUCGUGAUUAUUGGGUCUAAAGGGUCCGUAGCCGGUUUGGUCAGUCCUCCGGGAAAUCUGACGGCUUAACCGUUAGGCUUUCGGGGGAUACUGCCAGACUUGGAACCGGGAGAGGUAAGAGGUACUACAGGGGUAGGAGUGAAAUCUUGUAAUCCCUGUGGGACCACCUGUGGCGAAGGCGUCUUACCAGAACGGGUUCGACGGUGAGGGACGAAAGCUGGGGGCACGAACCGGAUUAGAUACCCGGGUAGUCCCAGCCGUAAACGAUGCUCGCUAGGUGUCAGGCAUGGCGCGACCGUGUCUGGUGCCGCAGGGAAGCCGUGAAGCGAGCCACCUGGGAAGUACGGCCGCAAGGCUGAAACUUAAAGGAAUUGGCGGGGGAGCACAACAACGGGUGGAGCCUGCGGUUUAAUUGGACUCAACGCCGGACAACUCACCGGGGGCGACAGCAAUAUGUAGGUCAGGCUGAAGACCUUGCCUGAAUCGCUGAGAGGAGGUGCAUGGCCGUCGCCAGUUCGUACUGUGAAGCAUCCUGUUAAGUCAGGCAACGAGCGAGACCCA